GAUGAACGCUGGCGGCGUGCCUAAUACAUGCAAGUCGAGCGAACAGACGAGGAGCUUGCUCCUCUGACGUUAGCGGCGGACGGGUGAGUAACACGUGGAUAACCUACCUAUAAGACUGGGAUAACUUCGGGAAACCGGAGCUAAUACCGGAUAAUAUAUUGAACCGCAUGGUUCAAUAGUGAAAGACGGUUUUGCUGUCACUUAUAGAUGGAUCCGCGCCGCAUUAGCUAGUUGGUAAGGUAACGGCUUACCAAGGCAACGAUGCGUAGCCGACCUGAGAGGGUGAUCGGCCACACUAGAACUGAGACACGGUCCAGACUACUACGGGAGGCAGCAGUAGGGAAUCUUCCGCAAUGGGCGAAAGCCUGACGGAGCAACGCCGCGUGAGUGAUGAAGGUCUUCGGAUCGUAAAACUCUGUUAUUAGUGAAGAACAAAUGUGUAAGUAACUAUGCACGUCUUGACGGUACCUAAUCAGAAAGCCACGGCUAACUACGUG
rnacentral:rRNA from 1 species